ACGGUCUGUUUGGUCUAACGGUGUGUGGCUCUUUGCUGGUGAAUUUGAAAUUUUAUCUGGAUAUGAAAAUUCAAAAGUUGGAAGAAGAGCAUUUAUAUUGACAUGGACGGGGUGAGAAAACUUUCAGGUAAACGUUUUGUCCGAACCAAAUAUCGCAGUGUACAUCUUUUGACUUCUUUAAGCAAAUAAAAUUUAAUCCUGUAAGGCAGAAAGUGGACGAAUCAUACAUAAAGAAAUAUCAACAUUUAUUUCAGAAAUGAAGUUCAUUGGGAUACAUGAACUUUUCUUCUCCUCUGGUUAUGUUUUUAUACAGUAUCUAAAAUAAAAUAAUACACAUUUA